GCCAGCAUGGCAUAGUGGUUUGAGUGCUGGACUAAGACUCUGGAGACCAGGGUUCAAUUUUCAGUUUAGCCA